UACGUAGGGAGCAAGCGUUGCUCGGAUUUACUGGGCGUAAAGGGCGCGUAGGCGGCGCGGUAAGUCACUUGUGAAAUCUCUGAGCUUAACUCAGAACGGCCAAGUGAUACUGCAGUGCUAGAGUGCAGAAGGGGCAAUCGGAAUUCUUGGUGUAGCGGUGAAAUGCGUAGAUAUCAAGAGGAACACCUGAGGUGAAGACGGGUUGCUAGGCUGACACUGACGCUGAGGCGCGAAAGCCAGGGGAGCAAACGGG
rnacentral:rRNA from 1 species